GGGGAAUUGGGGGAAAUUGGGGGGGAAAUGGGGGGAAUUUUGCCCCCAAUUUUGCCCCAUUUCCCCUCCAUUUUGCCCCAUUUCUGCCCAUUUUCCCCAAUUCCCACCUCUUUUGGCCCUUUUUUGCCCAAUUCUGCCCCUAUUUCGCCCAUUUCUGCCCCAUUUUCCCCCCAUUUCUGCCCAUUUCUGCCCAUUUUUUCACCCAUUUUUCCCCCAUUUCCCCCAAUUUCACCCCAAUAUUCCUCUCUGCUGUCCAUUCUGACCCCCAUUUCCCCCCAAUUCUGCCCCAUUUCCCCCCAGUUUUGCCCCAUCCCCCCCCCACUUCCACCCCACUCCCUCCUCCCACUGUAUCCCCCUAUGGGACCCAUCCCCAUUUAGGGUCCAAAAGGUGGGAUUUUGGGGUCCAAAAAGUGGCAUUUUGGGUCAUUUUGGUGGCAUUUUGGGUCAUUUUGGGUCGAAAAAGUGGCAUUUUGGGUCCUGGCAGAGCACAUACAGCACCUGAAGGCGGAGGGCUGCGGCUGCAGCGCCCCCUACAGGCGCGGAGGUCCCCAUUCUGCCCCAUUCUGCCCCCAUUUGCCCCCAUUUCUGCCCCAUUUCCCCCCCAUUUCUGCCCAUUUUUCACCCAUUUUUCCCCCAUUUCCCCCAAUUUCACCCCAAUAUUCCCCUCUGCUGUCCAUUCUGACCCCCAUUUCCCCCCACUUUUGCCCCAUUUCCCCCCAAUUUUGCCCCAUUUCCCUCCACUUCUACCCCACUCGCUCCCCCACUGUAUCUCCCUAUAGGACCCAUCCCCAUUUUGGGUCCAAAAGGUGGGAUUUUGGGGUCCAAAA
rnacentral:lncRNA from 1 species